rnacentral:misc_RNA from 1 species
GAUGAAGAACGUAGCGAAAUGCGAUAAGUAGUGUGAAUUGCAGAAUUCAGUGAAUCAUCGAAUCUUUGAACGCACAUUGCGCCCUUUGGUAUUCCUUAGGGCAUGCCUGUUCGAGCGUCAUUUAAACCUUCAAGCUCAGCUUGGUGAUGGGUGACUGUCCUCCCCUCGCGGGGGGACUCGCCUCAAAAACAUUGGCGGCCGGUACAUUGGCUUCGAGCGCAGCAGAAACGCGGUCUCGAGUCCGGUGGAUCGGCUCCCAUAAGUCUAUUCUUUUAUUUUGACCUCGGAUCAGGUAGGGAUACCCGCUGAACUUAAGCAUAUCAAUAGCGGAGGA